CUGAGACACCACAAGCCACAUGACCAAAACAACAACAACAAAAAACAAACCUCAUAUCAAUUUGAGAUAGGGCAAGACUGGUGUUAGAGAGGAUCAUUGGGGUGCUAUUAUCACAAUCUGUGUGAGUGUUGCUGUCUAAGCCAGCUGGAGACUCUACAAUUCAAUCCAGUUCUGACACCAGAGAAUUGAGAGCAGAUUCGGCAAAUUAAAGGCUCAGUCUCAAAAGACUGCUUUGCUCGGACACCAGCCACAGGUGGAGUCCCCAGGUGAUCCACACUUCUGUCUUGGCUACAAAUGAAUAAAAGGUGUUAGCAUACGUGGACCGAGAGGAUGAAAGAGGAGACAAAAGUGAAAGAGAGAUUUCAGCAAGUUUCUUGAAGAUGGCAAUUGAGUUGGAGAGGUGGCAAUCGACUUGGCAGAGGGACAUGUCUCCUGCACGGCUCUGUCUCCAAGUGAUGCUACCUUGCAUCCAGAUGCAGAAACCAGAAGCCAGCACCACCCUAAACCAAUCUUUCAUCAUCUCUUGCCAGGGCUGGGAAAACUGGAUAUCCACAUACAAAAGAAUGGAUUUGGAUCCUUACUUUAAAACUCAAAGCGGAUCUGAAGACCCAAACAUAAGAGCUACAACUAUAACAUUCUUAGAAGAAAACAGGAGAAAAGCUUUAUGACUUUGGAUUUGGCAAUGAUUUCUUGGAUAUGACACUGAAAGCAUAGCCAAGAACAAUAACAGAUAUAAAUUGGAUUUCAUCAAAAUUAAAAACUUUUGUGCACCAAAAGACUCUAUCAAGAAAGUGAAAAGGCAACUCAUGGAAUGGGAGAAAAUAUUUACAAGCUAUAUAUCUGAUAAGCAGUUAAUAUUCAGAAUAUAUAAUGAACUCCUACAACUCAACAACAAAAAUAAGCCACCUCAUUUAAAAAUUGGCAAAGGACUUGAAUAGACAUUUCUCCAGAGAAGAGAUACAAAUGGGCAAUAAGAACCUGAAAAGAUGCUCAAGAUCACCAAUCACUAACAAAAUGCAAAUCAAAGCCACAAGAUACAAUUUCAUAUCCAUUAGAAUGGCUAUUAUUUAAAAAACUGAAAAUAAGAAGUGUUGGUGAGGAUGUAGAGAAGUUAGAACCCUUGUGCCUUACCAGAGAGAAGGUCAAAUAGCACAGACACAAUGGAAAACAGUAUGACAGUUUCUCAAAAAAGUAAACAUAGUUAUCAUAUGACCCAGUAAUUCCAUUUCCUGGGAUACACCCAAAAGAAUUAAAAGCAGGAAAUAGAGAACAGAUUUGUACACCCGUGUUCAUAGCAAUGUUCUUCUCAAUGGCCCAAAGGUGGAGACAACUUAAAUGCACAUAGGCAGAAGAAGGGAUAAGCAAAAUGUGGUAUAUGUGUACAGUGGAAUAUUACUCAGCCUGUACAACAAGGAUAAACCUUAAAUACACGCUUAGUGAAAUCAGGUAGACAGAAAAGGACAAACAUUGUAUGAUUCCAUUCAGUUUAAGUAUAUAAAAUAGUCAAGUCCAUGGAGACAGCAAGUAGGAUACUGGUUACCAGAGGCUUGGGGAGGGGUAAAUGGGGAGUUAUUAAACAAUUACUGGAUGCAGAGUUUCAGUUUAGAAAGAUGAAUAAGUUCCAGAGAUGGAUAAUGGUGAUGGUUGGACAACAAUGUGAGUACCCUUAAAGCCACUUAAAAUUGUACACUUAAAAAUGAAUGGUAC
ensembl:lncRNA